rnacentral:rRNA from 1 species
GACGAACGCUGGCGGCGUGCUUAACACAUGCAAGUCGAACGGAAAGGCCCUGCUUUUGUGGGGUGCUCGAGUGGCGAACGGGUGAGUAACACGUGAGUAUCCUGCCCUUGACUUUGGGAUAACUUCAGGAAACUGGGGCUAAUACCGGAUAGGAGCUCCUGCUGCAUGGUGGGGGUUGGAAAGUUUCGGCGGUUGGGGAUGGACUCGCAGCUUAUCAGCUUGUUGGUGGGGUAGUGGCUUACCAAGGCUUUGACGGGUAGCCCGCCUGAGAGGGUGGACGGCGUCAAGACGACUACGGUAGGGCGCAGUCUGCUAUGUGAGGCAACAGUGGGGAAUAUUGCGCAAUGGGCGCAAGCCUGAUACGGCAGCGCUGCGAGCGGGAUGCUGGCUUUCGGGUUGUAAACCGCUUUGGCAUGUGACGUAGAGGGAGUGACGGUAACGGGUAAAGAAGCACCGGCUAACUACGUG